UACGGAGGGGGCUAGCGUUGUUCGGAAUUACUGGGCGUAAAGGGCGCGCAGGCGGCUGCUCAAGUCAGGCGUGAAAGGCCUGGGCUCAACCCGGGAAUUGCGCUUGAGACUGGGCUGGCUUGAGUGCGGGAGAGGAUGGUGGAAUUCCCAGUGUAGAGGUGAAAUUCGUAGAUAUUGGGAAGAACACCGGUGGCGAAGGCGGCAUCCUGGACCGAUACUGACACUGAGGAGCGAAAGCCAGGGGAGCAAACGGG
rnacentral:rRNA from 1 species